rnacentral:lncRNA from 12 species
CACACACGGGGGGGCUGUGAGGCCUCGUCGGAGGCAGCUAGGGGGCGGCAGGGGCUGUGGGAAGAUGGGAGGCCACUGCUGAGGCCCCAGGGGCCCUGCUCAGGCCGCUCCUCCCACCCCGCUGUCCCCUAGAUCCCCUUCUCGCUCAUCCUGAAGCUGUGGGAUGCCUAUAUAUUGGAUGGGGAGCAGGUGCUCAUGGUCAUGGCCUACACCAUCCUCAAGGUGCACAGGAAGCGCCUCCUGAAGCUGCCCCUGGAAGGGCUCCGGGAGUUCCUCCAGGACUCUCUGGCCCAGCCCUGGGCCCUGGAGGACGAGGCGGUGCUCAGACACCUUCGGGCCUCCAUGACCCAGCUCCGGAGGAUGCGGUGUGACCUGCCCCCCCAAGGUGGGCUCAGGGCCCCGGCCCCUCCUGACUUGGCCUGCUGGGGCCGCCCACAGGGGACAGAGUCCCCGGGGCCCCCGUCCUCAUCUCUGGGGUUCUCCUCUUCUGCUCCAGCCUCGGGGACCCCAGGCCAAGGCUGGGCGGACAGGCACCCACUGCAGGGCCCGGGCACCAGUGUGGGGAGCUGAGCACAGGGUCAGGCCGGGGGGCCACGCGGGAGCCGUGAGGACCCCCGGGGCCCCCAGCGGGGGACACACAGCCUGCUGGAGACGCUGACCCUGUCGGCCUCUUUCCAGCGGGACCUGAGGAGUUCCCCACGAGGGCCCUGGGCCUGGAGCGAGUGUCCCUGGUGCCCGGGUCUCUCCUCCCUUCUCCGGCCUCUGAGCCACCACCUAGGGUGGAGGAGCCGGCCUCCCCGGGCCCAGCCACCCAGCCUGAGCCACCCGGAACCCCUCCCGGCCAGGCCAUC